rnacentral:rRNA from 1 species
UACGGAGGGUGCAAGCGUUGUCCGAAGUUACUGGGCGUAAAGCGUGCGCAGGCGGUUGUGUAAGAUAGGUGUGAAAUCCCCGGGCUUAACCUGGGAACUGCGCUUGUGACUGCACAGCUAGAGUAUGGCAGAGGGGGAUGGAAUUCCGCGUGUAGCAGUGAAAUGCGUAGAUAUGCGGAGGAACACCGAUGGCGAAGGCAAUCCCCCUGGGCCUGCACUGACGCUCAUGCACGAAAGCGUGGGGAGCAAACAGG